rnacentral:rRNA from 1 species
UGUUGGUUGAAAACAGCUUGGAUGAGCUGAGGGUAGGGGUGAAAGGCUAAUCAAACCUCGUGAUUGCCCGUUCUCCUCGAAAUGCUUUUAGGAGCAGCCUCGGGAGGUCGGCGUUGGUGGUAGAGAACUGGAUGGACUAGGGGGCUUACCAGCUUACUGAAUCCAACCAAACUGCGAAUGCCAACGACACGUAUCCCGGGAGUGAGACGGUGGGGGCUAAGCUUCAUCGUCGAAAGGGAAACAGCCCAGACUAUCGGCUAAGGUCCCUAACUUUGUGCUAAGUGGGAAAGGAUCUGAAGACGCUCAGACAACCAGGAGGUUGGCUUAGAAGCAGCCAUCCUUUAAAGAAAGCGUAAUAGCUCACUGGUCAAGCGGCUUUGGGCCGACAAUCCAACGGGGCUUAAGCACAAGACCGAAGCCAUAGAAUAGACGCGGACCUGCGGGUCUGCAUAUUGGUAGAGGAGCGUUCUCACAGCCGUGAAGCCAGACUGAAAAGACUGGUGGAGUGGUGAGAAGUGACCCUGCCGGCAUAAGUAGCGAUAAGAAAGGUGAGAAUCCUUUCCACCGUAAGCCUAAGGUUUCCUGAGGAAGGUUCGUCCGCUCAGGGUUAGUCGGGUCCUAACGCGAGGCCGAAAGGCGUAGCGGAUGGAUAUCUGGUUAAUAUUCCAGAACUACCUAAAAAACGUUAUCACGAUGGGGAGACGCAGGAGGCUAUGCGAGCCUACGAUUGGACGUGUAGGUUCAGGCCUGUAGGGGGAUCCGCCAGGAAAAUCCGGUGGGUCACAUGCCCUGAGGGGUCAUGGCGAGGGCCGCAAGGCCCGUAAAGUCGCAGACGCCACGCUGCCGAGAAAAUCCUCUAAGGAGUCUUUUGGGUACCCGUACCGCAAACCGACACAGGUAGGCGAGGAGAAAAUCCUCAGGCGCGAGUGAGAACCCUCGUUUAGGAACUCGGCAAACUCACCCCGUAACUUCGGAAGAAGGGGUGCUCUGUUAGCGUUAGCGGCCUCGCGCCGCGAAGCGUGAGAGAGUUGCAAUAAAGAGGCCCAGGCAACUGUUUACUAAAAACACAGGGCUAUGCGAAGUCGAAUACGACGUAUAUGGCCUGACGCCUGCCCGGUGCCGGAAGGUUAAAGGGAGAGGUUAGCCGCAAGGCGACGCUUCGAGCUGAAGCCCCGGUAAACGGCGGCCGUAACUAUAACGGUCCUAAGGUAGCGAAAUUCCUUGUCGGGUAAGUUCCGACCUGCACGAAUGGCGUAACGAUCUGGGCGCUGUCUCAACGAGGGGCACUGCGAAUUUGUGGUACCGGUGAAGACGCCGGUUGCCCGUGACUAGACGAAAAGACCCCGUGCACCUUUACUACAUCUUAGUAGUGAAUGCUGGCGUGUUAUGCGCAGGAUAGGUGGGAGGCUUUGAACCCAGGCUUUCGGGCUUGGGGGAGCCAACGGUGAGAUACCACCCUUAACACUCCGGCGUUCUAACCUCGAUCUGUCAUCCAGGUCAGGGACACUGCUAGGUGGGUAGUUUGACUGGGGCGGUCGCCUCCUAAACUGUAACGGAGGCGCGCGAAGGUUCGCUCAGGCUGUUUGGAAAUCAGCCGUAGAGUGCAAAAGCAGAAGCGAGCUUGACUGCGACACCUACAAGUGGAGCAGGUGGGAAACCAGGCUUUAGUGAUCCGGUGGUUCCGCAUGGAAGGGCCAUCGCUCAACGGAUAAAAGGUACGCCGGGGAUAACAGGCUGAUCUUGCCCAAGAGUUCACAUCGACGGCAAGGUUUGGCACCUCGAUGUCGGCUCAUCGCAUCCUGGGGCUGAAGCAGGUCCCAAGGGUCCGGCUGUUCGCCGGUUAAAGCGGUACGUGAGCUGGGUUUAGAACGUCGCGAGACAGUUCGGUCUCUAUCUGUCAUG